rnacentral:rRNA from 1 species
AGGACGAACGCUGGCGGCGUGCCUAACACAUGCAAGUGGAGCGACGAACCGGGCUUCGGCCCGGGGCAAAGCCGCGAACGGGUGAGUAACACGUGGGUAACGUGCCCCGAUGAUUGGGACAACCCGAGGAAACCCGGGCUAAUACCAAAUGUGCCCUCCAGCCAUAAGGCUGUCGGGGAAAGGAAGCUUCGGCCUCCGCAUCGGGAUCGGCCCGCGGCCCAUUAGCUUGUUGGUGAGGUAACGGCUCACCAAGGCGACGAUGGGUAGCUGGUCUGAGAGGACGAUCAGCCACACUGGGACUGAGACACGGCCCAGACUCCUACGGGAGGCAGCAGUGGGGAAUUUUUGCGCAAUGGGGGAAACCCUGACGCAGCAACGCCGCGUGGAGGAUGAAAUAUCUUGGUAUGUAAACUCCUUUCGAUGGGGAAGAUAAUGACGGUACCCAUAGAAGAAGUCCCGGCUAACUUCGUGCCAGCAGCCGC